UUCUGAAUUUCCUUUCCUUUUCUUAUUGCUGUCUCUUUAUCAUAUAGGCUGAAAAGCAGCUGAGAUCUAGUUGGAUUCUCAUGUGAGCUAGUAGUCUCGGAGUACCUACAACUAUUGAAUGGCUGAAUGAUGUUUUGGCCCCUGGUGGGAGAGUUGGCAUUGACCCUGUGAGCAAUACUUCUUCUCUUAAAAUGGAGAGGAAGUGACAUUCCACAUUCACCUGUUAUGUAUGCACAUCUGAUUGUGGAGAUCGACAAAACAAAGUUAUAUGUAGAUACUUCCAAAGUAGGCAUGAGGUGUAGGAUCACCUGGCGAAUGCGAGUUUCAAGCCAUAUGACUCCAUUCUUUCUGAAGUAGAAAGGUGAGUUUGUGAGCUAAACCCUUUGUGCAUAGUGAACAUUUUUUCACAAAAGUGGUGAUCUUGUACAUGUAAUCACAUUUACAGCUUCAAUAGCAGUCACAGUCCAACGACAGAUUAUGACUUCUAGGCUGUAAUAGUUAGGCAUACCUUUAUGUAUUAAUUAUGCUUCUAGCCUGACCUUCAUUUCUUUUAAGAGGAAGGUGAACUCAUUUGGUACUUAGGAACACAACAGAUUGGCAUCUAGCUGAAUUAGGCUGAGAUACAUAAUCGUUGCAAGGCUCUUUGGGUUGCUGGUAAUGGAUUUGCAGAAGAGAUUAGGUUGGUGAGGAUUUGGUCUUAACACUACAUGUAUUUUAACUUUGUGAAUUUCAUGUAUUUGAAUAUUGGUGAAUAUGUAUUAAAUUGAUAUUGAAAAUUAAUCUAAUGUAUUUAUUUC